GACGAACGCUGGCGGCGUGCUUAACACAUGCAAGUCGAGCGGGGUCCAUCCAGUAGCAAUACUGGUGAAGACCUAGCGGCGAACGGGUGAGUAACACGUGAGCAACCUGCCCCGAAGUCUGGGAUAACACCGGGAAACCGGUGCUAAUACCGGAUGUCCUCACCGAGUCACCUGGCUUGAUGAGGAAAGAUUUAUCGCUUCGGGAGGGGCUCGCGGCCUAUCAGCUUGNGGCGGGGUAACGGCCCACCAAGGCUUCGACGGGUAGGCUGGUCUGAGAGGACGACCAGCCACACUGGGACUGAGACACGGCCCAGACUCCUACGGGAGGCAGCAGUGGGGAAUCUUGCGCAAUGGGCGAAAGCCUGACGCAGCAACGCCGCGUGGGGGAUGAAUGCC
rnacentral:rRNA from 1 species